rnacentral:rRNA from 1 species
AGUGAACGCUGGCGGUAGGCCUAACACAUGCAAGUCGAACGGCAGCACAGGAGAGCUUGCUCUCUGGGUGGCGAGUGGCGGACGGGUGAGGAAUACAUCGGAGUCUACUCUGUCGUGGGGGAUAACGUAGGGAAACUUACGCUAAUACCGCAUACGACCUACGGGUGAAAGCAGGGGACCUUCGGGCCUUGCGCGAUUGAAUGAGCCGAUGUCGGAUUAGCUAGUUGGCGGGGUAAAGGCCCACCAAGGCGACGAUCCGUAGCUGGUCUGAGAGGAUGAUCGGCCACACUGGAACUGAGACACGGUCCAGACUCCUACGGGAGGCAGCAGUGGGGAAUAUUGGACAAUGGGCGCAAGCCUGAUCCAGCCAUACCGCGUGGGUGAAGAAGGCCUUCGGGUUGUAAAGCCCUUUUGUUGGGAAAGAAAUCCAGCUGGCUAAUACCCGGUUGGGAUGACGGUACCCAAACAAUAAGCACCGGCUAACUUCGUGCCAGCAGCCGCAGUAA